rnacentral:rRNA from 2 species
UUACCGAGUUUACAACUCCCAAACCCCUGUGAACAUACCAAUUGUUGCCUCGGCGGAUCAGCCCGCUCCCGGUAAAACGGGACGGCCCGCCAGAGGACCCCUAAACUCUGUUUCUAUAUGUAACUUCUGAGUAAAACCAUAAAUAAAUCAAAACUUUCAACAACGGAUCUCUUGGUUCUGGCAUCGAUGAAGAACGCAGCAAAAUGCGAUAAGUAAUGUGAAUUGCAGAAUUCAGUGAAUCAUCGAAUCUUUGAACGCACAUUGCGCCCGCCAGUAUUCUGGCGGGCAUGCCUGUUCGAGCGUCAUUUCAACCCUCAAGCCCAGCUUGGUGUUGGGACUCGCGAGUCAAAUCGCGUUCCCCAAAUUGAUUGGCGGUCACGUCGAGCUUCCAUAGCGUAGUAGUAAAACCCUCGUUACUGGUAAUCGUCGCGGCCACGCCGUUAAACCCCAACUUCUGAAUGUUGACCUCGGAUCAGGUAGGAAUACCCGCUGAACUUAAGCAUAUCA